rnacentral:piRNA from 1 species
UGGCCUCCAAGGAUACCUUGCAAGGUA